rnacentral:lncRNA from 10 species
GUGAGCCCCAGGUGUAUCCCAGAGGGAUCCGGGUGACUUCUCUGCAGACUGUUUGCCAUGACAGCCCACCAAGGACGGGGGGAAUAAAGUGGGAACCCUUCCCCAUGCCCCUCCCACGGUCAGCUCCCCGAUGGCCUGGGUGAGGUCAUUCAAGCUUGGGUGGUGUCCUCUUCAUUCUAGGCACAGUCCUGACUAUUGUGACAUAUAAUCCAAGUACUGGAAUCCUGGAGGGGAAGAGCCAAAUAGUAAGGCCUCUGGUCUCCCCUUCAGAAAAAGGGAAGGAAACCCAGCAUUUUUUUUAAAUGAAGAAAUAUCCACUUGAGGUUAUUAAAACUGCACUGUUUUAAAUGUUCAGUCUUCUGAAUAUAUCUUUAUGAUCACAAUGUAACAACUCAUUUGAAGAGGACAUCAGAAAGAUAAAUUUGCACUGGAUGUUGGGAUGGUAGUAAGGGAGAAGAGAGAACUUGGAUGAAGUGGAAUGGAUGAGGGCAGGCUGGCUGCUCUGACACCAUGGGGAGCUGCUGCAGCUGCCUGAACAGAGACAGCGUUCCAGACAACCACCCCACCAAGUUCAAGAGAAAACAAAAUUCUGUAUUUGUGAGUUAAUAUACGUAAAGUAUUUAAAAUAGUGCUUAGUGGCCAGGCACGGUGGCUCACACCUGUAAUACCAGCACUUUUGGAGGCCAAGGCAGGCGGAUCACCUGAGGUCAGGAGCUCGAGACCAGCCUGGCCAACAUGGCGAAACCCCGUCUCUACUAAAAAUACAAAAAUUAGCCAGGU